rnacentral:rRNA from 1 species
AUGAAGGGAUGGGGGGCCAACCUUGGGCGAGAUGCCAGAGAGCGCAAGAAAGCGCUGCUUUCCGCGAUUCAAGCUCUUGACCUACGGGCUGACUUGGUGGGUUUGUCUCCGGAUGAGUGGCUCUCCCGCUAUGCCCUCGAAGACCAACUCUCCGUGAUCCACUCUGAUGAGGAGGCCUAUUGGCGCAUUCGGGGCGCCCAGAAGUGGGUCCUGAAGGGUGAUGCGAAUACCGCU